AAUAGAUACCCGGGUAGUCCACGCCGUAAACGGUGGGCGCUAGGUGUGGGUUUCCUUCCACGGGAUCCGUGCCGUAGCUAACGCAUUAAGCGCCCCGCCUGGAGAGUACGGCCGCAAGGCUAAAACUCAAAGGAAUUGACGGGGGUCCGCACAAGCGGCGGAGCAUGUGGAUUAAUUCGAUGCAACGCGAAGAACCUUACCUGGGUUUGACAUAUACCGGAUCGCCUCAGAGAUGGGGUUUCCCUUGUGGUCGGUAUACAGGUGGUGCAUGGCUGUCGUCAGCUCGUGUCGUGAGAUGUUGGGUUAAGUCCCGCAACGAGCGCAACCCUUGUCCUGUGUUGCCAGCAAUUCGGUUGGGGACUCGCAGGAGACUGCCGGGGUCAACUCGGAGGAAGGUGGGGCGACGUCAAGUCAUCAUGCCCCGUUAUGGUCCAGGGCUUCACACAUGCUACAAUGGCCGGUACAGAGGGCUGCGAUACCGUGAGGUGGAGCGAAUCCCUUAAAGCCGGUCUCAGUUCGGAUCGGGGUCUGCAACUCGA
rnacentral:rRNA from 1 species